AUUUAAUAAGAGAAGGUGAAAUACAUUUUCUCCUAGCUCCUCAGCCAUCUGCCAGACUUUUAAGAAUGAAAAUAUGCAUUUGGCCGUAGGAAAUAUAAUAACAAUUGACACACCAGAAAAUACUCGACAAUAGAAAUGCAUGCUAUUUUUUAUUUUUCUAAUCACAUAAGGGGUGAGUGAACAGAAAAGCAGGUCCUAGUGUGUCUCAACACCAGUAGUAUCCAAGGAAGAAAUGGCAACUGCAGCAUGGAGUGCAGCUCCAAUGGGAAGGACUUCCUCAUCAAGAAAAAAAUAUGGUGUGUGCAGUCUCUUAACUGAUUUUUCAUUUUUGUUCCGUACUCCGAUA
rnacentral:misc_RNA from 1 species